GACAGCGUGUCCGAGUGGUUAAGGAGGUGGACUCGAAAUCCAUUGGGCUCUGCCCGCGCACGUCCGAAUCCUGCCGCUGUCG
rnacentral:tRNA from 1 species